AUGCUGCCCGUCGUGGGCCGGGCCGUCCUGGUGCCCGACUUUCUGGGCAGCGGCCGGCGGCUGCUCUUGGGCAUCCGUUCUACCAGGGAUCACCAAUUCUGCGCCGUCGACAUGGACGCCAGGCCGCCGACGGUCCUCAGGUCCUGGCCUGAGGCAUUGCCCACCGUCGGGUGGGCCGCCGAAUAUAAAAGGUGCUCCUUCCGCCCCCAGGUGACCUACUUUGGGGGCGGCAGGUUUUGCGUUUCGGUGACUAAUCAGACCAACGAGGAGAAUCCACGCAGCGUCGUCUCCUUCAAGGCCGUGGAGCUCACCGCCGAGCUGCAGCUGAUCGAACGUCGGUCCAGCUGCUACUUGAUGCCACAAAGCUCACGCGGGUCGCCGGUUACAGUAGUUUAG
rnacentral:rRNA from 1 species